GACGUAGGGUGCGAGCGUUGUCCGGAUUUAUUGGGCGUAAAGAGCUCGUAGGCGGCUCGUCGCGUCGACCGUGAAAACCCGCGGCUUAACCGCGGGCUUGCGGUUGAUACGGGCGGGCUAGAGUUCGGUAGGGGAGACUGGAAUUCCUGGUGUAGCGGUGGAAUGCGCAGAUAUCAGGAGGAACACCGGUGGCGAAGGCGGGUCUCUGG
rnacentral:rRNA from 1 species